rnacentral:rRNA from 1 species
UACGGGGGGGGCAAGCGUUGUUCGGAAUUACUGGGCGUAAAGGGCUCGUAGGUGGCCAACUAAGUCAGACGUGAAAUCCCUCGGCUUAACCGGGGAACUGCGUCUGAUACUGGAUGGCUUGAGUUUGGGAGAGGGAUGCGGAAUUCCAGGUGUAGCGGUGAAAUGCGUAGAUAUCUGGAGGAACACCGGUGGCGAAGGCGGGUCUCUGGGCAAUUCCUGACGCUGAGGCGCGAAAGCGUGGGGAGCAAACAGG